AAUGAACGCUGGCGGCGUGGAUUAGGCAUGCAAGUCGAGCGAUCCUAAGGAAUGAACUACCUGAAAUCUUGGAAGUCCGCCUUUGGCGGAUGGAAGAGAUGGAUGGUAGCUAAUUUCUUAGGAUAGCGGCAAACGGGUGAGUAACGCGUGGGUUAUCUACCCUGAGGCGAGGGAUAGCUUCGGGAAACCGAAGGUAAUACCUCGUAUAUCCCGAUGUUACGUCGGGAGAAAGAUGGCCUCUUCCCAAUUUUGGGAAUGCUGUCGCCUCAGGAGGAGCCCGCGUCCUAUCAGCUAGUUGGUAGGGUAAUGGCCUACCAAGGCGAUGACGGGUAGCUGGCCUUAGCGGGUGGUCAGCCACACCGGGACUGAGACACUGCCCGGACUCCUACGGGAGGCUGCAGUCGAGAAUCUUUCCCAAUGGGCGAAAGCCUGAGGAUGCGACGCCGCGUGGGGGAUGAAGGCCUUCGGGUUGUAAACCCCUUUUGUCAGGGAAGAAAUCCCAGUGGUGAAUAGCCAUUGGGUUUGACGGUACCUGACGAAUAAGCCACGGCUAACUCCGUGCCAGCAGCCGCGGUAAUACGGAGGUGGCUAGCGUUACUCGGUAUUACUGGGUGUAAAGGGUCCGCAGGCGGCUAAGUAAGUAAGAAGUGAAAUCUUCCGGCUCAACCGGAAAACUGCUUCUUAUACUGCUUAGCUAGAGGGCAAGAGAGGAGAGCGGAACUGCCGGUGUAAGGGUGAAAUCUGUGGAUAUCGGCAGGAACGCCAGUGGCGAAGGCGGCUCUCUGGCUUGCUCCUGACGCUCAGGGACGAAAGCUAGGGGAGCAAACAGGAUUAGAUACCCUGGUAGUCCUAGCUGUAAACGAUGGGCACUGGGUGUUUGCUCCGAAAGGAGUGAGCGCCGAAGCUAACGCGUUAAGUGCCCCACCUGGGGACUACGGCCGCAAGGCUAAAACUCAAAGGAAUUGACGG
rnacentral:rRNA from 1 species